rnacentral:rRNA from 1 species
UAAUACGGGGGGAGCAAGCGUUGUUCGGAUUUACUGGGCGUAAAGGGCGCGUAGGCGGCCACCGCAAGUCGACUGUGAAAUCUCCGGGCUUAACCCGGAAAGGUCAGCCGAUACUGCGGGGCUAGAGUGCAGAAGGGGCAACUGGAAUUCUCGGUGUAGCGGUGAAAUGCGUAGAUAUCGAGAGGAACACCUGCGGCGAAGGCGGGUUGCU